AACCCGGGUCCAUAAUCGGGAUCGGGGACCGUGUCUGGUGGGUAGUUUGACUGGGGCGGUCUCCUCCCAAAGAGUAACGGAGGAGCACGAAGGUUGGCUAAGCAUGGUCGGACAUCAUGCGGUUAGUGCAAAGGCAUAAGCCAGCUUGACUGCGAGAGUGACGGCUCGAGCAGGUACGAAAGUAGGUCUUAGUGAUCCGGUGGUUCUGAAUGGAAGGGCCAUCGCUCAACGGAUAAAAGGUACUCCGGGGAUAACAGGCUGAUACCGCCCAAGAGUUCAUAUCGACGGCGGUGUUUGG
rnacentral:rRNA from 1 species